GCUUUCUAGACAUAGGGAUUUCAUGGACACACAGCAUUUUAGGGAUUGACAUAGGGCACAGACAUUUUUUAACACUUUUUUAACAGACACCAUCUACUAUCCCCACUUCAUAAAAGAUAAAACAUUUUAAUGCUAAAAACAUAGGCCAAGCACUAUCACAUAAUCUUAGAGCAACCAAUAGUCUAUUAAAAUGAAUACACUUGACUUUUGAAAUAAGUAAUUAUAUUCCCUUAUUUUUCUUACGAUACCAUGUUAUAUUUUUCAAUUAAGGAACCAAUAUUGGUAUAAUUAACUAAACUCCACGCUUUAUUCAGAUUUCACUAGUUUUUACCCAUAUUUGGUCAUCAUGUGUCCUUAGACCCCUCUUAGCCGUGACAAUUUCUCAGACUUUCCAUGCUUUUGAUGACCCUGAUAGUUUUGAGGAGUACUGGUCAAGUAUUUUGUUGAAUGUACCUCACAUUGGGUUUGUCUAAUGUUUUUCUCAUGAUUCAGCUGGGGUUGUGGACUUUAAGGAAGUGAAUUGCUCUUUUCAUUACAUCACAUCGAGGGUACGUUCUUAUCACCUGGCUGAGGUAGUGUCCAUCAUAUGGGCACAAUUUAAGCAAUCCAUCAAACAUUCAGGUUGUGCCUGUUUUUUAUCACUGUGAAUAACAAUCAGAGAUAGAGAAAUAUAUAUCUUGUCAGAAUUUCCAAUUAUUGAUCGAAGGUGGUAGGUCCUUAAAAUGAAAGUACAAAGCAUGAACUCUUAACAGUAAGCACCAGCCUGGGCAACAUGGUGAGACUCCGUCUCUACAAAAAAAAAAAAAAAAAAAAAAAAAAUCCAGACGUGGUGAUGCAUGCCUGUGGUCCCAGCGAACAGGGAGACUGAAGCAGGAGAAUGGCUUGAGCCCAGGGGGUCGAGGCUGCAGUGAGCCAUGUUCACACCACUGUGCUCCAUGUGCUCCAGCCUGAGCAACAGAGUGAGACCCUGUCUCAAAAAAAAAAAAAAAAAGAAUAAGCGAUGUAUGAAUUACAAGAAAUUCCUGCAUAGAAAUUGGGAACCCCAAUUUGUAGUCCUGGUUGUGGUGGCCUUGUGACUUCAGGAAAGAUAAGUAGUUCUCUGCAAGUCUAUUAAAAUGAAGUCCUUGGACUAAGAUUUCUAACUCUGAUGGUCCAUGUGGUCCAUGUGCUUGCCGGCAGUCCUUCAGAAACAGUGCAGCUGAGGAUUUCCUCACUUUCUCAUUCAUUUAUUCAAAUUCCUGCUGACAUAACUUGUGAUCUUCUGUGGCAUCAGAAUGGCACAAUCAGUGACUGAGUUCUACUCCUAGAACAUCUAAUUACAAGAUCGGUAUAUUGAGAAGCAUUUUCCCUGAUUUUUUUUUUCUCAAAAUAUGUUCAUCAACUGGAUCAGUAUACACUGUCUCCUCUAGGUGGUACCCAACAUUUAAAAUACUGCAGUGUAUAUUAUUUGGAUAAGAAGACCAAAAGCAUAAUUUAAAAUUGCUAGGAGAAAAUGCCUUAGAUUUUCACCAUCCCUACUUGGAGAGGGGGAGGAACAUUGCAACAGAUGUCAGUGCUUUGCUUCUCUUAGGACCAGAACCAAACAGAAAGGGGACCAAGAAGCAAGAAAGAAUUGCGCUAUUCUAUUGAACCUCUGAGCAGGUUGCAAAUAUUAAGUUUUUAGUGAACCAUGAAACCUAAGUUGUUUACAAAACAAAGUGAAGCAGUGCAAAUUAGAACUGAAUCUGUUUUCUAAGCCUAGAACAUUAGUAAAAACUCAACUAUUGGCUGGGCACGGUGGCUUACACCUGUAAUCCCAGCACUUUGGGAGGCCGAGGCGGGCGGAUCACUUGAGGUCAGCAGUUCGAGACCAGUCUGGCCAACAUGGCGAAACCCUGUCUCUACUAAGAAUACAAAAAUUAGUCAAGCGUGGUGAUAUGUGCCUGUAAUCCCAGCUCCUCGGGAGGCUAAAGCAGGAGAAUCGCUUGAAUCUGCGAGGCAGAGGUUGCGGUGAACUGAGAUCCCACCCCUGCACUCCAGCCUGGGCAACAGAGCGAGACUCCGUCUCCAAAAAAAAAAAAAAAGAAAAGUUACGUUUAUGUUGAUUGUCUAGUAAUAUAAAUUGUAAAUAAAUAAUUUGUGAAGCUAUUUUAAUUCAGAAGAAAAGUGUUAACAUUUUAGAGCAUUGUGUUGACAGAAAAUUAAAAAUUAUUUCAAGUUUAAUGUGUAUCUGAUUAUUUGCUGCAAGGAAGUACGACAGGAUGACCUAUAUAAAUACUUUCAGAAUACAAAAGAUAUCAUUAGGAUAAAAAUAUGUGGAGGAAGAGGAAUGGAUUUAUAAGUUCAAACAGAAAAGGGAAUGAUGUAUAGCCUUCAACUGUUAAGGAGCUUGUCUUUAUGUUUUUUAGAGGAAUGAUGUUGUCAAAUUGAUAUGGUAUGAGCCCUAUGGUAUGAUAAACGUAUCUUAAUAAAGUUGUUAUUUUUAAAAAGAAAACUGCUAGGGCAGUAAGAUUCCAAAAGUAAUGUAAGAUUUCUUCUAAAAUAUUUACAAAAUGCCAAAAUUGCAUUCUCUCCAGUAUUUUAACUUAUGAUGUAAAAGUUUAAAUGUCAAUUUUAAAACAUG
rnacentral:lncRNA from 1 species